GAAAAGAUGCAUGGUGCUUUAAACCAUCGCAGGCUUCUGCUCCUCAGCCCCUCCUCCUCUCCUUUCCAUUCCUUUUGCUUGGGCUUGAAACCACUGCUCCAUGACACUGGACAUUACACAUAGAAUAAAAAUGAGCCUCUGGUGUAGGUAAGGUCUCUGAAUAUGUAGGUGAGUAUUAGUUUGUGUGCGAGAGGAGCCGGGCAACUUCACACCAGGACAGAAUUUGAGACAAAGAGGAAAAACAGACGGCAGGUCAACCUGAGAGGACGCGGGGACCACGGCACACGCAUUCUCAGCCAUCUCAUUUCCUAAUUUUAGUUUCACUCCUAUAUAAAGUAGCUACACACAGAUACAGUAACAAACACACAGCGUUUCCAUCACAUUAGAAGAUGUUACUUUGACUUGCAUUCAUUUCCUGGAGACUUCUAACCAUAGCUGCUGCUGUGUAACCCUUUCCAACACCUUAGGUCAACUCUUCAUGAUUGUAUUUAACCAAAUUACUGUUCACACAAGGAAUCUGCAUACACACACACACACACACACACAGGCACUCCCCCUGACUGUGUAGUGGCCUUCCUUUUGCCUACAGCUCCAGGUCACUGAUCGCACUCUGUGUGACCUUUAGGCCAUGAUACUUUCAGUGUCCUAUUUGCUUCCAGUUACUAUGUUAGAUCCAUUUUCAUUAGUUCAAUGCCAAAUUCACUCCUGUUAAUACCUUUUAAUGGUGGUUCUGAAAAGCACCAGCAAAUAUUAUAGUAUAUAAUUGUGCUGAAAUUAAAUUGAAAGCUAUAUUUGUAACCAUCUGUAAUUUUGACCUUAGAACUGAAGAAGCUUCUUGGAUGAGAGGUGAAACGUCUUCAAGCAACUCAAAGAAGUCCAGAUGCUUUUCUUUGCAAGCUCCUUUGACUACGAUGACCUGGAUGACUGAGAACCUUCACAGACAUCUGUAGUUAUUAAUUUAAAGUGAAGACCCAAACAAAAUGAGGGUUUUUUUUCUUUUUAUGUUUUGUUUUCACUACAUAACAAAAUUGGUCUAUUUUAACCAGGGUGAGAAAGGAAAGGUCACUUUUCAACAGCAGCUCAGUCAAGUUAGCAAAAUUAAUAGUAAUUUUUGUUAAUUUUGGGUCAUUUUUUAUAAUAAUAUUUGCAGCUAAAUAUCACAUUUUCAUUUCAGCGAGCUUAUUUGAAACAGGCAAAUCCACGUCUUUAGGACUCUUUGAUCAGUGCUGGCAAGAUUCCCAAACAACCGCAAUAAGUCGUUCCAUCCAUUUACUUAACUGCUUAUCCAGUUUUGGGUUGCUGGGAGCUGUAGCCUAUCCCAGCUGUCAUGGGGUGAGAGGCAGAUACACUCAUGACAGGUCAGCAGUCCAUCACAGGGCUAGCACAGCUAACACACCUGCAGCCAAUUUAGAAUCAGCUUAACAACCUAUUAUUUGGACUGUGUUAGGAAACUGAAGUACCCAAAGAAAACCCACACAGGCACAGAGAGAACAUGCAAAGUCCACACAGAACAUGCAGGAUUAAUGCCAUUAUUGUCCCAGUAACGUCUGGCAAGCUUAGGUAAGAUAAAAAUAGGAAUAAAAACAUUCAUAUAGCAAGAAUUUUUCUUGUUUUUAUGUAGCUUUGGUGAUUUUUGUGUGUGUGUGUUAUUGCACGUGGACCAAAGACUGUGCGGUGUACAGAAUGAUGUAGUGGCCGUUUCUUUGUCAGCUGAUGUAAUACAACACCACAAACUGCGCCAUCCUGCUUCUCACCCACACAGAGGGAGAUGUGGGACAGUGUUCUUUUCUUGACAAGCAGCUCUUCAUAUCACUUGACAAAGUAUCAGGGUGCCUGGAAGUGUUAGAUGCUGGCAUUUGCACUUAAAGCCUUCGUGAAUAGCUGCUCGGUGCCAAGCGAGGGCUUAGGCUAAAUCGAUGAUGACUGUGCCAAGAGAGAGAAUGAAAGGGUAAAUUUUGCACAGCUGUCCCUACAAAUAAGGGAGGCAAAUAUCAUUCUGAGGAGAAGCAUGUGAGUGGUCUUAGUUUCACUCAAAAACAUGAUUUGGAUAUUUUAAGAGGAUCAAAACUGUGUUAGGGGCAACUUUACUAAAAGCUGAGGGAAAAGUCACAAUAAAAUAUGUUCUGGGUAACCUAAAAAAAAAGGUUUACAGAACAAAUUAAAUGCAGUAAACUGAUUGAUGUUAAGUAGAAACACAAUGUGUUUGUGCUUUCUAGUUUUUUCCGUUAAUGACAUGCAAUAGUAGCAGCCGAAGUGCCUCAUUCGA